rnacentral:rRNA from 1 species
AUUGAACGCUGGCGGCAGGCCUAACACAUGCAAGUCGGACGGUAGCACAGAGGAGCUUGCUCCUCGGGUGACGAGUGGCGGACGGGUGAGUAAUGUCUGGGGAUCUGCCCGAUAGAGGGGGAUAACCACUGGAAACGGUGGCUAAUACCGCAUAACGUCGCAAGACCAAAGAGGGGGACCUUCGGGCCUCUCACUAUCGGAUGAACCCAGAUGGCAUUAGCUAGGAGGCGGGGUAACGGCCCACCUAGGCGACGAUCCCUAGCUGGUCUGAGAGGGUGACCAGCCACACUGGACCUGAGACACGGUCCAGACGCCUACGGGAUGCAGCAGUGGGGAAUAUUGCACAAUGGGCGCAGGCCUGAUGCAGCCAUGCCGCGUGUAUGAGGAAGGCCUUCGGGUUGUAAAGUACUUUCAGCGGGGAGGAAGGCGAUAAGGUUAAUAACCUUGUCGAUUGACGUUACCCGCAGAAGAAGCACCGGCUAACUCCGUGCCAUCCGCCGCAGUAA